CGCUGGCAAAGGAGCCGGGAGAGCCGUGCUCCGCCCACCGCGCAAGCGUAGCCGCCCCGGCCGCUUCCGCCGCCUGCCAGCGCGCAGGCGCAGCCCCACUUCUCCCCGCCCACCGAGGGCGGGUCGCUCGCAGGCUCAUGCGGUCCCCCCUUCGCGCCGUCGCAGUCCAGUCAGCGUGGACCGGGGACCACUAGGUCCCGCCUUCCAGGCCUCCUCGUCGCUUUAUUCGCUAGCGUCAAAAUUGGUGAGUUGAGACGGAAGAGAGCCUUCUAGGGCCCAACACAGGGCUGUCGAGAGGAAUGCCUGGAGCUCUACCUUUGCUUCCUGGAAAGACUCAAGAAAAAAAACAAGGGACUUCCCUGGUGGCUCAGUGGUUAACAAUCUGCCUGCCAAUGCAGGGGACAUGGGUUAGAGCCCUGGUCCAGGAAGAUCCCACAUGCCAUGGAGCAACUAAGCCAGCGCGCCGCAAUGACUGAGCCUGUGCUCUAGAGCCCGUGAGCCGCAACUAUUGAGCCCUCAAGCCACAACUACUGAAACCUGCGCCCCUAGAGCCCGUGCUUCACAACAAGAGAAGCCACCACGAGAAGCCCGCACACCGCAGUGAAGAGUAGCCCCAGCUCGCCACAACUAGAGAAAGCCUGCAUGCAGCAACAAAGACCUAACGCAGCCAAUUAAUUAAUUAAUUAAUUAAUGUUUUUAAAAAGAAAACUAUCUGAGAACCACAGUCAAGUAAAAAACAACUUUGCAUAGUUCUUUGUGUGUGUGUGUGUGUGUGUGUGUGUGUGUGUGUGUGUGUGUGGAGAGAGAGAGCAAUAUGAAAAGUUGAGGUCAUUUCAUUUUUAAAAAUAACAGGAAACCUAACACUUUUUCAGUAAACAACUCAAAAGCAAGGUAUAUAGUUUGGUUCAUUUUAUGACCAGAAAGGGAGCCACAAGUACUUUCAGUUUCUAAAUUACAAUUGUUCUAGUUUUUUUCAACAAACCAACAUUGCUCUGAUAAUCCAAAAUCAAAGCCACUUUAAUUUUCUUAUGUUGUUCGUUUGCUUAAUUGUAAGCAAACCAAUUUUUUAAAUGUAUUAUUAUUAUUAUUAUUAUUAUUAUUUUCCCAUACUGUGCUGUUUGCAGGUUCUUAGUUCCUGGACCAGAGAUCACACCUGGGCCCUCAGCAGUGAAAGCGGGGAGCCCUAACCACUGGACUGCCAGAGAAUUCCUUUAUUUUCAUAUGUGUAAUGUAGAUAUUCUGUUGUUGCCCAAACACAGUAGGAUUUUAAUUGAAUACAAACUCCUAUUUGGUAGGAUUUAUUCUUGAGCUUUGAGAUAAAGGUCCAAGCUAAUUCUACCAAAGAUAUAAGGAGAGAGGGUGGUGCCCAACUUCACUUUUAUUUGACUUGGGUAUUGUGUGGUCAAUUCACUUCCCGUUGGCAACUGUGACCCAUGGAAUUGUCUCCACCUAUCUCAUUAAACCAAUUAGACUUGAGGAGGCUGAAUUUUAUCCUGUAGAGAAUAUUUUAAAAGAGAAUAACUUGAGUGUUCUAAGAAAGACUUCUUAGAACACUUGAAUGUUCUAAGAAUACUUGAGAAUAUUCUUAAACUUUUCUGUAAUGCAUUUAGAGAAGUGCUUUUUAAAACUGUAAUGAUGAUGGUUAUGAGUGCUACCCACAUGCUGCAAAGAGAAGAGUAUUUUUGAAGGAAUAGAUGUGGUUGCCAUUCUCUAAUUCAUUUAAAGAAGUGUUUAAAAACUUAUGUAAUAAAGACAGA